AGAGACCUCAAGCGUUAUCCGGAAUCAUUGGGCGUAAAGCGUACCGAUAGGUGGUUUUACAAGUCAGAAGUGAAAUUCCAAAGCUUAACUUUGGGACUGUCUUUUGAAACUGUAAAACUAGAGGGGCAAAGAGGAAGCUGGAACGAACGGUGUAGUAGUGAAAUGCGUUGAUAUCGUUCGGAACACCAAUAGCGUAGGCAGGCUUCUGGGUGCCACCUGACACUGCUAGGACGAAAGCGUGGGGAGCGAAUGGGAUUAGAUACCCCAGUAGUCCACGCUGUAAACGAUGAUGAUUAGGUGCUAGGGAGUAUCGACCCUUCUUAGUACCAUAGCUAACGCGUUAAAUCAUCCGCCUGGGGAGUACGGCCGCAAGGCUA
rnacentral:rRNA from 1 species